rnacentral:tRNA from 1 species
AGCUCAGUUGGUAGAGCAACUGAUUUGUAAUCAGUAGGUCGAGGGUUCAAGUCCUUCA